CCGCACCCGCACGCCCUCCACUGCAUGAACCGCCGCCACCGCACGCUCGCCCCACCCUCCGCCUCCACCGUACGCGCGCCGUCGUCACUCCGCCCGGCCGCCGCACGCUCGCCACGCCUCCACCUCGAGUUGCCCUCCACCGCACGGCCAGCCGCCGCCGCACGCUCGCCCCCCCCCCCCCCUCCACCUCCUCCCUCUGCGCCCGACACCUCCGCACGCUCGUACGGCUGGGGCGGCGCCUCACUGCCCUUCGCCCGGCGCCCUCACCGGCUCGCGCGACGCCACCGCUGCCGCCUUUGCUUGGCUGACCGGGGCGGACGCCUCACUCCCCUCUCGCGCGCUCGGCCUCUGCUCGGCUAGGACGCCUCCCUCCCCUCCGGCGCACGACCCGCCGCCGUGCCGUCCCAGCAUCUCACCCUCACCCACCACCGCACCUCGACUUCGCCCGGCGGCCGCUCGUCCAUCGCCCGGGCCCUUUCGUGAGUCUGCUUCUUCGUCCUGCCCCUAAUUGGUUCCUCCAUGAAUAUGAUUCAUUAAAUACGUUUGUUACUCUAUUUGUUGUUUGUCAGACAUAAUUUAGAUGAUGACUGAGACCUAUUGAUAAAGUUUGUCCAUCCACGCUUGCUGUGCAGUUAUAUUGUUCCUUUUCACUUGUAAUCUUCAAUGAGUAAUUUCAUCAUGGAAUGUGUGAUUUGAAGUUGAGGAGAAAACUUUUGGUGGUGACUGACUGCGCCCCAUUCUUAAAUGUUCCAGUGGUACUAUGUUAAGUGGUUGAUUAGUCUGCAUUUGAUUUUGUGGAGUUGCACUGCAAGUACAUGGAACUUUUAUGUCUCGAAUUCUGCAGUGGUACUAUGUUAAGUGACGCUUGUUAUUUGGGAUGUUUGCUCACAUGUCUAAUUCUUUUUGGAAUCAAUGACUUUGAACUAUAUAAACUAGAUAUGUGUCAAGAUUAUGAACUCUGAAUGUUUCUGAAUUUCUCAAACAACCAGAUCCGCAUACCGACUACCUCUGUGAAAAAGCUAUCAAAGAUCCUAAAGUGAGUCGAUGAUAAUACCACAUUGAGGCAGCGUUUAGUUUGCAAAAAAUUUUGGCCAUUGGCAGAUCUCCUGGCGAAUUCGUUUUGGCCCAAAUAUUUUGGAUGGUGUUUAGUUCCCAAACUUGUUUGUGACAGGGUGGGAGGGGGCUGGGUAAUUUUGUCUGCGUGGGUGGGGCGGCUACAGUAAUUUUUUGCCUACACGGUACCAGGCCGAAAAAUUUUGGGCCAGGCCGAAAUUGUUCGGCAUCUAAACGCUGCCUGAUGAUGGAGGGAUUUCAUCCCAACAACAAUGGCUGCAUCAAGUUUGCAUGGAGAUAAUGUGAAAAAUCGAUUGAUAAGAGAGCAAGACCAGGCCAGCUAGUCAAAGCAAAAAAAUGGUGGCGGUGGCGGACGAGUAUGAAGACGCUCUCUCCCUCUUCGCCUCCCGCCUCCUCUCCCACCCCUGCACCACCUUCGGGGACGGGGAGGGGGACCACCACCUCCGCCUGCUCCAGGCCGCGCUCUCCGCUGGCCCAGACGUCCCCGCUCUGCUACACACGCGCUCCGCCGCCCGCCGCCUGCUUCAGGACCGCGCUAAGGAGGCAUUCGCCGCUGCGCAGGCGCAGGCUCCUCCCCUGGACCAUGCCCGGAUCCUCGCCGUCGCCGACUUCUUCGCCCGGGCCUUCGCCCUCGUCGCCGAUGUCCAGAGCUGCCUUGCCAUGAGAUAUGAGGCCCUGCUUCUGCGACACACUAAAUUCUCUGACAACCACCAUCUCAAAGUGUCACGUGAGGAGUGGUCAACUUUCGCAAAGGAUGCUCUUCACGACGGCUUCUACAACAUUGCUUCCAAGGCAUUUGCAUAUGCUACUGUGCACACUCAUCGCAGCCAGUUGGACUCUACUAAUUCCAUUGAGAAGGACAAGAUCAAUGAUAUGACUGGACUUCAAAACCUGGCGAAGUCAUUAUCUGCAAAGCAUUCUGUUCAGAGUGAGUCAGCUGAAUACAUGAAAAGGAGAAAUUCAGGUGUUCAUGAGAAGUAUAAUUUGCAAUCAGGAAAACCAAAGUUACCAGGAAGUUCAAUGUAUAUGUUAGGGAUCAAAACAAGGAACAUAAAGAAACUGCUUCAUAGUCGUGAAAGGAAUUUGGGGGAUAUUUGAAGCAAUCUUAGUAUGGCAUCUUCCACAAGACUGACAAUAAUGACCAUUAUCUGCAGUAGGAGCCAUUUUGUGAAAGGCGAGAAUUUUUGCAAUGGAGACAUGAAGUGGAGUUCAUGUAUGAGUCUUUGAUUCAAACUUUAAGACGAAGCUGUCAAAGACUACAUAUAUACCUGUGUCCUUGAGUAGCAUAUUCAAUCUGCAAGUUGCUACUUUCCAUAUCUGCAGAACGUUGUUCAUGUGCAGGACAAUAAUAAAUAGCAAUAGUGUCAUGCUUAACAUGUUGCCUUAUUAUAUGAAUUGAAAUUUUUUUGACUGAUGUGGAUGCCAGAUAUUGGAAAAACGGUGCUUGUGAAGCAUUUUCUUUUGAUACUA